UACGGAGGGUGCAAGCGUUGUUCGGAAUCACUGGGCUUAAAGCGCGUGUAGGCGGAAUGCAGGGUGUUGUGUGAAAUCCCCGGGCUCAACCCGGGAACUGCGCGGCAAACCGGCAUUCUUGAGGCAAGUAGAGGUGACUGGAACGACCGGUGGAGCGGUGAAAUGCGUAGAUAUCGGUUGGAACGCCGGAGGCGAAAGCGGGUCACUGGGCUUGUCCUGACGCUGAGACGCGAAAGCGUGGGGAGCAAACAGG
rnacentral:rRNA from 1 species